GCAGCUCGGUGGCCAACGCCUUCGCUGAGGGCUAGUUGGAGCCCGGCUGCUUCACAGACUCGAGGGACUGAGCGCCUUCGGAGCUGUGGGGCGGUGCCCUCUUACCACUGCUAAUUUUUCUACAGGCCUUGGCCUUGACAGGUGUUGGUGCCUGCAGUAGACGCAUUCUGAUUCGUGCACAGACUCUCUCUAGAGACUGUGCCUAUGGCUGGCGACAGAGUKAGGUCGUUGCCUUGACGACGACAGCAUGCGGCCAGCGGUCCUCCUAAGUGUGAGCUUGCGGCGGGCUGAGGCCCAUCUGCCUCCCAGCCUGCUUCACCCAGGACCCGUCACUGUGCCCGCAGAAGAAAUCAUAACACUGGAAUUGCUAGUUUGCUAGUCAGCAUCUUUUAGUCCAGCUAGCGAGAUGCAUUUCACCUCAAAUUUGUUUCCAAGUUGAAAACCUUUGGAUCUUUCCAUGUGAAAGGAUUUGAAGAAACAAAAAAUUCCUACUGGUUUUAAAUUAAAAUGGAAAAAUAUGAGAACCUAGGGUUGGUUGGAGAAGGGAGUUAUGGAAUGGUGAUGAAAUGUAGGAAUAAAGAUAGUGGAAGAAUUGUGGCCAUCAAGAAGUUCUUAGAAAGUGAUGAUGACAAAAUGGUUAAAAAAAUUGCUAUGCGAGAAAUCAAGUUACUAAAGCAAUUGAGGCAUGAAAAUUUGGUGAAUCUGUUGGAAGUGUGUAAGAAAAAAAAAAGAUGGUACCUCGUCUUUGAAUUUGUUGACCACACAAUUCUUGAUGACUUGGAACUCUUUCCAAAAGGAUUAGACUACCAAGUAGUUCAAAAAUAUUUGUUUCAGAUUAUUAAUGGAAUUGGAUUUUGUCACAGUCACAAUAUCAUACACAGAGAUAUAAAGCCAGAGAAUAUUUUAGUCUCCCAGUCUGGUGUCGUCAAGUUAUGUGACUUUGGAUUUGCACGGACUUUGGCUGCUCCAGGAGAGGUUUAUACUGAUUAUGUAGCAACUCGCUGGUACAGAGCUCCAGAACUCUUGGUUGGUGAUGUCAAGUACGGCAAGGCUGUUGAUGUGUGGGCCAUUGGUUGUCUAGUAACUGAAAUGUUCAUGGGAGAACCACUAUUUCCUGGAGAUUCUGAUAUUGAUCAGCUAUAUCAUAUUAUGAUGUGUUUAGGUAAUUUAAUUCCAAGACAUCAGGAGUUGUUUUAUAAAAAUCCUGUGUUUGCUGGAGUAAGAUUGCCUGAAAUCAAGGAAACAGAACCUCUUGAAAGACGCUAUCCUAAGCUCUCUGAAGUUGUGAUAGAUUUAGCAAAGAAAUGCUUACAUGUUGACCCAGACAAAAGGCCUUUCUGUGCUGAGCUGCUACACCAUGAUUUCUUUCAAAUGGAUAGAUUUGCGGAGAGGUUUUCUCAGGAACUACAAUUAAAAAUACAGAAAGAUGCCAGGAAUAUUUCUUUAUCUAAAAAAUCCCAAAACAGAAAGAAGGAAAAGGAAAAAGAUGAUUCCUUAGGUGAAGAAAGAAAAAUGCUGGUGGUACAGGAUAUCAAUGCUGAUCCCAAAGUUAAGRAUUCUAAGGUAUUUAAAAUAAAAGGAUCAAAAAUCAAUGGAGAGAAAGUUGAAAAAGGCAAUAGAGGUUCAAAUGCCAGGUAUCUCCAUGAAAAUAGGAUAAGCCACAUCAAAACAGUGCCUUCCACAAGUCUCAGAGACUGCAGCAAUGUCAGCGUGAACCACACAAGGAAUUCAAGCACAGCAAUSCCCCCACUUACACACAAUCUUUCAGCAGUUGCUCCUGGUGUUAAUUCUGGAAUGGGAACUAUCUCAGGUGUACAGAGUUACAGAGUGGAUGAGAAAACUAAGAAGUAUUGUAUUCCAUUUGUUAAACCAAAUAAACAUUCUCCAUCAGGAAUUUAUAAUAUUAAUGUGACCAAAUUAGGUCUCUAGUGAAAAAAGCCUCCUUCAGGCAAAUAAGAAAAGAAGGGAAUAUUCUAAGACAGACGUCCGUUUGCCUGAACUGAACUAUAAUCAUCUCCCUGAACUAAGAGCCUUGGAAGGAAUAGCUCGAAAUUCUAGACUAAUAAAGAAAGAGAACAAAAUUCUUUCAGAAUCUCGGAUUCCUUCUCUGGCUGCUAUUGACCUGCAUACUCCCAGUGUUGCUUUACAUCAGGUAUCAGGAUCUCCCCUGUCAGAUGAUUCAGAGGCCGACUUGCCUCGGAUGGAACACCAGCAUUGAGAAUUAUUUUAGUUCAGAAGGGGAUGCUGCUAUAGCACUUGAGAUGACAUCUCCUUGCAACUAGAAUGCUAAUAUCCUAAGAGGAGAGAUUCAUGGUAUUCAUUGUUUCCYUCUGAACUUCCUGCAUUUUCUAAGAAAGUUGCUUUGCAGAGGAAGGAAAGACAAAGACAUCCUUCAAAUGUUUCAAAGGAAGAUUGAACAAGUUCACCUUCCCGACUGUUAUCCUGUUACUUUUUCAGUCUGUUGAUGCUUGCUAUUUCAAGAUAUAGACAAUGAAAGAAUAGUAAUAUGGUUCUUGUUACAUGAAUGUGAAUUUUCUAUUAGUAGAUUGUGUAUUUAAAUUACUAAGAUUAAAAGUGAUUAAAAAUGAAGGCGAGAGACACAUUAUAAAAGGUCAUGUUAUUCAUGCAUUUAACCUUGUGUGAUCUGUAUAAAUGUUUACA